rnacentral:rRNA from 14 species
AUGAGAAAAGAGGCAUACUCUAUGUAGAGGCGGAAGUGAAGAAUCUUAGGCAAUAGGCAAAAAUUUAACUCGGUAACUUUACAGAAUGAAGAAGACAUUACGUUUGA